GACGAACCGUGCGAACGUUAUUCGGAAUCACUGGGCUUAAAGGGCGCGUAGGUGGUUGAUCAAGUCUGGGGUGAAAUCUUUCGGCUUAACCGGAAAAGUGCCUUGGAUACUGGUCAGCUGGAGGGAGGUAGGGGCAGUUGGAACUUCCAGUGGAGCGGUGAAAUGCGUUGAUAUUGGAAGGAACGCCGGUGGCGAAAGCGGACUGCUGGACCUCUUCUGACACUGAUGCGCGAAAGCUAGGGGAGCAAACGGG
rnacentral:rRNA from 1 species